rnacentral:tRNA from 1 species
GGAGUUGUGCCUCAGUGGUAGAGGGCUCACCUACCAUGUAUGAGGCCCUGGGUUCAAUCCUCAGCACCA